rnacentral:rRNA from 1 species
CCUACGGGUGGCAGCAGUGGGGAAUAUUGCACAAUGGGCGCAAGCCUGAUGCAGCCAUGCCGCGUGUGUGAAGAAGGCCUUCGGGUUGUAAAGCACUUUCAGCGGGGAGGAAGGCGGUGAGGUUAAUAACCUCAUCGAUUGACGUUACCCGCAGAAGAAGCACCGGCUAACUCCGUGCCGGCAGCCGCGGUAAUACGGAGGGUGCAAGCGUUAAUCGGAAUUACUGGGCGUAAAGCGCACGCAGGCGGUCUGUCAAGUCGGAUGUGAAAUCCCCGGGCUCAACCUGGGAACUGCAUUCGAAACUGGCAGGCUAGAGUCUUGUAGAGGGGGGUAGAAUUCCAGGUGUAGCGGUGAAAUGCGUAGAGAUCUGGAGGAAUACCGGUGGCGAAGGCGGCCCCCUGGACAAAGACUGACGCUCAGGUGCGAAAGCGUGGGGAGCAAACAGGAUUAGAUACCCGAGUAGUC